CAUCUUCAGGGCAGGGUGAAAUUCCCUACCGGCGGUAUAGCCCGCGAGCUGGUAUCAGCAUGACUUGGUGAGAUUCCAAGGCCGACAGUACAGUCUGGAUGGAAGAAGAUG
rnacentral:ncRNA from 1 species